rnacentral:rRNA from 1 species
UACAGAGGUCCCAAGCGUUGUUCGGAUUCACUGGGCGUAAAGGGUGCGUAGGCGGUCGGAUAAGUCUGAUGUGAAAUCUUCGAGCUCAACUCGGAAACUGCAUCGGAAACUAUUCGGCUAGAGGAUUGGAGGGGAGACUGGAAUUCUCGGUGUAGCAGUGAGAUGCGUAGAUAUCGAGAGGAACACCAGUGGCGAAGGCGAGUCUCUGGACAAUUCCUGACGCUGAGGCACGAAAGCUAGGGGAGCAAACAGG